rnacentral:rRNA from 1 species
UCUGAUGGCCAUACCUCCCUGCAUGUGCCCAAUUUUGUCUGGAUCGUGGAAGCUAAGCAGGGUCGGGCCUGGUUAGAACUUGGAUGGGAGAUGUUCCAAUAGUAUGCUUCCGGAA